rnacentral:rRNA from 1 species
UACGUGGGGUGCAAACGUUGCUCGGAAUCACUGGGCUUAAAGCGUAUGUAGGCGGCCCAUCUUGUCGGAUGUGAAAGCCCUCGGCUUAACCGAGGAAGGGCACCCGAAACGGACGGGCUUGAGUACUGGAGAGGGCGACGGAAUUCCCGGUGUAGUGGUGAAAUACGUAGAUAUCGGGAGGAACACCGGCGGCGAAGGCGGUCGCCUGGACAGAUACUGACGCUGAGAUACGAAAGCGUGGGGAGCAAACAGG